UGGUCACAUGAUGUUUGAAAAUCACCACCCUCCGAAGCAGACUAAACGUUUGCAUUGCAGAAAUGUGAUAUUCUGAUGACUA
rnacentral:snoRNA from 1 species